rnacentral:rRNA from 1 species
UACGAAGGGUGCAAGCGUUACUCGGAAUUACUGGGCGUAAAGCGUGCGUAGGUGGUUUGUUGAGUCUGAUGUGAAAGCCCUGGGCUCAACCUGGGAAUUGCAUUGGAUACUGGCAGGCUAGAGUGCGGUAGAGGGUAGUGGAAUUCCCGGUGUAGCAGUGAAAUGCGUAGAGAUCGGGAGGAACAUCCGUGGCGAAGGCGACUACCUGGACCAGCACUGACACUGAGGCACGAAAGCGUGGGGAGCAAACAGG